UGGGGAAUUUUGGACAAUGGGCGAAGCCUGAUCCAGCAAUGCCGCGUGUGUGAAGAAGGCCUUCGGGUUGUAAAGCACUUUUGUCCGGAAAGAAAUCCUUGGCUCUAAUACAGUCGGGGGAUGACGGUACCGGAAGAAUAAGCACCGGCUAACUACGUGCCAGCAGCCGCGGUAAUACGUAGGGUGCAAGCGUUAAUCGGAAUUACUGGGCGUAAAGCGUGCGCAGGCGGUUUGCUAAGACCGAUGUGAAAUCCCCGGGCUCAACCUGGGAACUGCAUUGGUGACUGGCAGGCUAGAGUAUGGCAGAGGGGGGUUAGAAUUCCACGUGUAGCAGUGAAAUGCGUAGAGAUGUGGAGGAAUACCGAUGGCGAAGGCAGCCCCCUGGGCCAAUACUGACGCUCAUGCACGAAAGCGUGGGGAGCAAACAGGAUUAGAUACCCUGGUAGUCCACGCCCUAAACGAUGUCAACUAGUUGUUGGGGAUUCAUUCCUUAGUAACGUAGCUAACGCGUGAAGUUGACCGCCU
rnacentral:rRNA from 1 species